UUUUCUUCUCACGUUCUCAUAUGUUUAAAACAACAAGUUACAUGACCCUUAUAUAGGCCCUCCAAAGCUAAUCCGAAAUUAAGAGUAUUAAUUUCGUUAGCAUUUCCUAAGCAUCAAAUAACCACCUAAUAAAGAGAAAAACCAUCUCCCCAUGCCACUCGGGAAACCAAAAGACAUUUGACGCUUAGAGAUUACAAACAUAGGGAAACAACACAUCAUAAAUGACUUGGGAAAAUAAAAGGUCUAGCUUAAUUUCUAACAUCCCCCCUUAAGCUAGACUUUGACCAUGCCAAGUUUCUUCUUCAAUUUGUUAAAUGCAUCAACUUUUAAUGCCUUGGUGAAAAUAUCU
rnacentral:lncRNA from 1 species